UCGAGUGAGGGUCUCCCAGGCCCGACCUCCCAACCCUUUGUUUAUCGAACCACUGUUGCUUCGGCGGGCCCGUCUCACGGCCGCCGGAGGGGCGCUGAAAGGCGUGUCCUCUGGCCCGCGUCCGCCGAUGGCCAACCACUAAAACUCUGUAUGAAUCGUGUCUUAUGUCUAAGUCCAUGAUUAAAUAAAGCA
rnacentral:misc_RNA from 1 species